rnacentral:rRNA from 1 species
ACUGCCCGAUGGAGGGGGGUAACUACUGGAAACGGUAGCUAAUACCGCAUAACGUCGCAAGACCAAAGAGGGGGACCUUCGGGCCUCUUGCCAUCGGAUGUGCCCAGAUGGGAUUAGCUAGUAGGUGGGGUAACGGCUCACCUAGGCGACGAUCCCUAGCUGGUCUGAGAGGAUGACCAGCCACACUGGAACUGAGACACGGUCCAG